UACGUAGGGUGCGAGCGUUGUCCGGAAUUAUUGGGCGGAAAGGGCUCGUAGGCGGUUUGUCGCGUCGGGAGUGAAAACACUGGGCUCAACCGAGUGCUUGCUUUCGAUACGGGCAGACUUGAGGCAUUCAGGGGAGAACGGAAUUCCUGGUGUAGCGGUGAAAUGCGCAGAUAUCAGGAGGAACACCGGUGGCGAAGGCGGUUCUCUGGGAAUGUUCUGACGCUGAGGAGCGAAAGUGUGGGGAGCGAACAGG
rnacentral:rRNA from 1 species